AUUGAACGCUGGCGGCAGGCCUAACACAUGCAAGUCGAACGAGUGGCGGACGGGUGAGUAAUGUCUGGGAAACUGCCCGAUGGAGGGGGAUAACUACUGGAAACGGUAGCUAAUACCGCAUACUAUCAGAUGUGCCCAGGUCGGAUUAGCUAGUUGGUGGGGUAACGGCCGACCAAGGCGACGAUCCCUAACUGGUCUGAGAGGAUGACCAGGCACACUGGAACUGAGACACGGGCCAGAAGCCGAAGGGAGGCAGCAGUGGGGAAGAUUGGAAAAUGGGCGCAAGCCUGAUGCAGCCAUGCCGGGUGUGUGAAGAAGGUCUUCGGAGUGUAAAGGACUUUAAGGUGGGAGGAGUUACCAACAGAAUAAGCAACGGCUAAAUUCGUGCCAGCCGCCGCGGUAAUAC
rnacentral:rRNA from 1 species